GGACGGAGGUGAACGGCAAAAGGGUCAGGUGGGAGACAGGCAGAUGAGGCUGGCGCAGGGGCUGGGGUGAAGUGUGUGAGGGAGCCCCUGGCCGCUGCUCACCUGCCCUGCCACUGUGUUCUCCUCUCAGCAGCCUGUCUUUCCAACAUCCACUCCUGCCUCCUCUCUCCCAAGACCCAGUCCAUCUCAUUCCCACACAGCCACUCAUGGACUCAUUUGCUACCUUUUUCAGAUGUCUCCAACCUGCCAUGGGCUGGGGGUACAGAGAGAAAUUGGUGAUGGGGUCUGCCUCCCGUGGGAGAGGCAGAUACCACAGUCGCAAACCCACUGUGUGCCUGGCGCCCUUGCGGUCAUCCCAGAUUUUUGCCCACAUCCCUCUGUUCCACCCAGAGGCCACCUGCAUGCAGGCAUGGUGGAUGGUUGCUGUGUGCAGUGAUGGCCUCCUGGGACCUCUUGCUGGCCACGGAGUUAACCAGGAGGGACCAUCAACCUCGGAAGGUUAGGAGCUGUUGGGACAGUUCCGAGCUACAUUCCAGGCAGUCUCAGGGAUGAGUUCCUGUGUCCCACAGUUGAAUGUGCUCCAGGAUGAGUCUCAGGCCCAGCUCCAUGAUGAUGCCUCUCUCCAGAGACCUCCUGACCUCCUGACCUGCACAGCCCGGGAGACCACAGCCCACAGCCGCUGCCCCAGGUGUCCACAAGCAUCUCAGCCCCUCCACAGCCCACGCAUCUCCUCUUUCAUUGGCUCAUGGGGAGUGAAGGACAAUGUCUGAAUUAAAUGCCGUGCUUUAAACUGAAAGGGAAACUUAGCAAAUAAAUGAGAGUAACAACAC
rnacentral:lncRNA from 1 species